rnacentral:pre_miRNA from 1 species
AAUGUACUCCCUCCGUUCGGAAUUACUUGUCUCAGAAAUGGAUGUAUCUAAAACUAAAAUACAUCUAGAUACAUCCAUUUUUACGACAAGUAAUUCCGAACGGAGGGAGUAGCAU